GACAGAGGGUGCAAACGUUGUUCGGAAUUACUGGGCGUAAAGCGCGUGUAGGCGGCUUGGCAAGUCGGGUGUGAAAGCCCCGGGCUCAACCUGGGAAUGGCAAUGGAAACUGGCGGGCUGGAGUAUGGCAGAGGGGGGUGGAAUUCCGCGUGUAGCAGUGAAAUGCGUAGAGAUGCGGAGGAACACCGAUGGCGAAGGCAGCCCCCUGGGCCAAUACUGACGCUCAGGCACGAAAGCGUGGGGAGC
rnacentral:rRNA from 1 species